UCCAGCCAUGCCGCGUGAGUGACGAAGGUCUUCGGAUUGUAAAGCUCUUUUGGCGGGGACGAUAAUGACGGUACCCGCAGAAUAAGCCCCGGCUAACUUCGUGCCAGCAGCCGCGGUAAUACGAAGGGGGCUAGCGUUGUUCGGAAUUACUGGGCGUAAAGCGCACGUAGGCGGAUUGCUAAGUCAGGGGUGAAAUCCCGGGGCUCAACCUCGGAACUGCCUUUGAUACUGACAGUCUUGAGUCCGGAAGAGGUGAGUGGAAUUCCUAGUGUAGAGGUGAAAUUCGUAGAUAUUAGGAAGAACACCAGUGGCGAAGGCGGCUCACUGGUCCGGUACUGACGCUGAGGUGCGAAASGUGGGGAGCAAACAGGAUUAGAUACCCUGGUAGUCCACGCCGUAAACUAUGGAUGCUAGCCGUCGGCAAGCUUGCUUGUCGGUGGCGCASUAACGCUUUAAGCAUCCCGCCUGGGGAGUACGGCCGCAAGUUAAAACUCAAAGGAAUUGACGGGGGCCCGCACAAGCGGUGGAGCAUGUGGUUUAAUUCGACGCAACGSAAGAACCUUACCAGCU
rnacentral:rRNA from 1 species